AGAAUUGGUUGUUGGAAAAAACAGAACGUUGCAAAGAUGAAACAAAGACUGAGAGAAUAUAUCAAGAUUGUUUCUAUCGCCACUUACCUUCCCAGCAAAAGCUACGAUCACAAAAAGAAGUAAUGAACUUUUUGCUACAUGGUGAUUUUCCUCUCAAAGAUGGAAGGAAGAAACCAAAGACGAGUACUGAAGUUGCUUUUGUAGAUAACCAAGUUUCAAGUUUAGCAUCUCAUGAAUCAAGCAAUAGGGAAGAAAUGCCGCCUCACCUUCCAAAGACUGAGAUAGCGAAUAAAAAGUAGUUAUGAAAAAGGAAGAUAGGGAUGAAAAGUUUAAAUAAGAUUAAUAGUGAUCAAGAGGAGAGUAAUAAAUUGAAUAAGGUGUUGAGUGGUGAAUUAUAGUAUAAGAUUUGUGUUUACAAAAUAAGAU